rnacentral:lncRNA from 1 species
CGGCCCCAGCGCCCGGAGCUCGGGGCUUCGCGCUGGCCCCUCGCCACGGUGGCGAUAGACCGCCGCUUGCGGCCCCUUUCCACGCUACGCUUUUCACCCUCACGUGCGGUGCCAACGGGACCAAGAUAACUUCCUGCGAGUCCGAAACGGCACCCUGCGUGAUAGCGUGGGACAGGGGAGUCAGGCGCUGCUUCUGUUGACUCCGAGAAGGACCUUCCGGAACGGGACUUGAACUCAGGACCUUGCACUUGCCAAGCAGGCAUGGCACUGUUACGGAAGGAGACAGCAAGUGACACACAGAGAGGCAGCAGAAUGGAAGACUUGGCCCUUGCAAGCAGGUGUGGCUGCUACCAUUCAUCCGAAGUGGAACAUCCCCUGUCUGGCAGUGGUCACAGGGGAGAAGUGUCAUGGCUGGCCUGGCCGAACCAAACACAAAUGGGACAAAGCAAACAACAGCAGCUUCUCAGUAAAUAGGACAAAUGGGCACAACAAUCCUCCUGGUGCUGCUCAGAAGUCCAGUGAUUGUCUGCACACCCAAGCAGGACAUCCCGGGGCAUCCCAGCUAUAAACAUCCCUUAUGAUAUGGCCCCUUCUCCAAAAUCUGCAUAAGCAUAGUCUUCUUUCCCUGCUAGCUGCUACAACCUCUCCCAGAUUGUAGUCCCUGAUUUUAGUCUCUGUUCACCGGAAUAAACUUUUUCUUUUUCACAACAAACGGGCCUGUUUAAACAAGUGAAUUCAUUUGUGCCAUCUAUAACAAGAAGAUAUGCUAUGUCUAUUUUAGAAGUUGUAAAGCUCUGUUUCCCAC